UUUAUACUCCCUCAAUCCCGAAUUACUUGUGGCGAAAAUGGAUGUAUCUACUAUACAUAUGUUUAUUCUAGAUACAUCUAUUUCUAUCCAUUUCUGCAGCAAGUAAUUUGGGAGGAGGGAGUAGUUG
rnacentral:pre_miRNA from 1 species